UACGGGGGGGGUAAGCGUUGUUCGGAAUUACUGGGCGUAAAGGGCGCGUAGGCGGCCAACUAAGUCGGACGUGAAAUCCCCUGGCUCAACCAGGGAACUGCGUCCGAUACUGACUGGCUUGAAUCCGGGAGAGGGAUGUGGAAUUCCAGGUGUAGCGGUGAAAUGCGUAGAUAUCAGGAGGAACACCGAUGGCGAAGGCAGGUCUCUGGGCUGAUACUGACGCUCAUGCACGAAAGCGUGGGGAGCAAACAGG
rnacentral:rRNA from 1 species